rnacentral:sRNA from 1 species
AUGCGCGCGCCCCGGCGGCGCGGGUCUGGGUCUGGGUCUGGGGAUGUGGUGCCGGCUGCCGGCGACCGCCGGCAGUAGAGCGGUGGCCAGGCCGCUGGCCUUGCUCUGGCGAUGUGGUGGCCCAGGAGGUGGCAGGACGGUCAAGACCAGCGCGAGGGUCCUGGGCAGGGCCCGACAGAAGAAGCUAAUAAGCUUAUCUGGUCUCUUGUUUCAGUGCCUCUAGGGGAUCCACGUUCAGAAGCUGACUCUGCAGGCGAGACCAACGUUAUUUUCCCGGUGGCUGUGUUCAAAACCACCCAAAGGGUUUGAGAAAUACUUUAAGAGGAGUGGAAGGAACAAACUCAGAAACAUCAACAGCACCAAAAAAAGAGACUGGUGAACUAGAGAAUGCCGAGUCUGGAGGAGAUGGAGGCAGGAGAGGAGGGAAGCGGGAUGACGUUGCCUGGUGGAGGCGGAUGCAGAAGGGGACUUCUGCAAUCUGGCCCUUUUGGGGGCAGGCGUUGCCAUGGGAUUUUUCUACCUCUAUUUUCGAGAUCCUGGAAGAGAAAUCACUUGGAAGCACUUUGUAUAGUAUUACCUGGCCAGAGGUCUGGUGGACCAGCUGGAAAUCCUGAACAAUUUGUGCGUGUUAUUCCUGCCCCUGGGAUCUCUUCUGAAGUGAGGGGUGAAUUUAAGGGAGCCAUGCUCAUUGGUCCUCCUGGUACCGGCAAGACCCUUCUUGCCAAAGCAACUGCAGGGGAGGCCACUGUGCCCUUCAUCACUGUGAACGGGUCUGAGUUCCUGGAAAUGUUUGUUGGCGUUGGGCCAGCAAGGGGUGCAACUCUGCCACCAACGUCGUGACGUUGGCUGGCACCAAAUGCCCUGGCAUCCUGGACCCGGCCCUGAUGCGGCCUGGCCGGUUUGAUCGCCAGAUUUACAUUGGUCCCCCUGACAUCAAAGGCAGGGUCCUCCAUCUUUAAGGUCCACCUACGCCCACUGAAGCUGGACGAGAGCCUCAAUAAGGAUGUCCUGGCGAGGAAGCUGGCAGCGCUCACCCCAGGCUUCACUGAUGUCUGUUUACAUACCAAAGUUAAAAAGCUGGAAUGUUACCAAGACUGUUUCUUCUGUCCCUAGAGGGGGAUGACUCAGCAGGGCUGACUCAGCACUACCCCUCAACAGAGAUGACUUAGCUUUGCCCCUCAGCAGGGAUGACUCUGAUGACUCUGCCCCUCAGCAGGGAUUACUAAGCACUACCUUUUAACAGGGAUGGCUCAGCACUGCCCCCCGACAGAGAUGACUGAGCAGGGAUGACUCAGCACUGCACUCCAACUGAGAGGACUCAGCAGGGAUGACUCAGCACUGCCCCCCAACGGAGAUGACUCAACAGGGAUGACUCAAUGCUGCUCCUCAGCAGGGAUGACUUAGCAGGGAUGACUCAGCACUGCCCCCAACGGAGAUGACUCAACAGGAUGAUCAUGCUGCUCCAGCAGGGAUGACUUAGCAGGGAUGACUCAGCACUGCCCCUAACGGAGAUGACUCAGCAGGGAUGACUCAGCACUGCCCCCAACGGGGAUGACUCAGCAGGGAUGAUUCAGCAGAGAUGACUCAGUACUGCCCCUCAGCAGGGAUGACUCAGCAGGGAUGACCAGUAUUGCCCCUGAAUGGGGAUGACUCAGCAGGAAUGAUGCAGCAGGGAUGACUCAGCACUGCCCCUCAGCCAGGAUGACUCAGCAGGGAUGACUCAGCACUGCCCCUCAGCCAGGAUGACUCAGCAGGGAUGGCUCAGCACUGCCCCUCAGCAGGGAUGGCUCAGCACUGCCCCGCAGCAGGGAUGACUCAGCAGGGAUGGCUCAGUACUGCCUCUCAGCAGGGAUGACUAAGCAGGAAUGACUCAGCAGGGAUGACUUAGCACUAACCCCAACGGAGAUGACUCAGCAGAGGUGGCUCAGCAGGGAUGACUCAGCACUGCUCCUCAGCAGGGAUGACUCAGCAGGGAUGACUCAGGACUGCCCCCCCAACAGUGAUGACUCAGGAGGGAUCACUCAGCACUGCCCCCAACAGGUAUGGCUCAGCAGGGAUGACUCAGCACUGCCCCCCCAACGGUGAUGACUCAGCAGGGAUGACUCAGCACUGCCCCCCAACAGGUAUGGCUCAGCAGGGAUGACUCACCACUGCCCCCAACAGGGAUAACUCAGCAGGGAUGACUCAGCACUGCCCCCAACGUGGAUGGCUCAGGAGGGAUGACUCAGCACUGCCACCAACAGGGAUGGCUCAGCAGGGAUGACUCAUUACCGCCCCCCCACGGGGAUGACUCAGCAGGGAUGACUCAGCACUGCCACUCAACAGGGGUAGCUCAGUAGGGAUGACUCAGCACUGCCCCCCAAUGGGGUUGACUCAGCAGGGAUGACUCAGCACUGCCAACUGCCCCCCAACGGGGAUGACUCAGCAGGGAUGACUCAGCACUGCACUCAACAGGGGUGGCUCAGCAGGGAUGACUCAGCACUGCCCCCAACGGGGAUGACUCAGCAGGGAUGACUCGUCACUGCCCCCAACGGGGAUGACUCAGCACUGCCCCUCUACAGGGAUGACUCAGCAGGGAUGACUCAGCACUGCCCCUCAGCAGGGAUGACUCAGCAGUGAUAACUCAGCACUGCCCCUCAGCAAGGAUGACUCAGCAGGGAUGAUUCAGCAGAGAUAACUUGGGGAUGACUCUGACUGCCCCUCAGCAUGGAUGAGUCUGUUUUGCUCCAAUGGAAGCAUCCAUAGUGUCCAUCAGCAGGUGAAUGGCUAAAGUGGUAUAUACUGUAGUCAAAUUCUGCUAUAAAAAGGAAUAAAGUAUUGAUGCAUGCCACAACAUGGGUGAACCUGGAAAAUACUGUUCUAAAUGCAAGAGGCCAGGAACAAAAGGCCACAUAAUAUAUGUUCCCAUUUAUGUGAAAUGUGCAGAAUAAUAAUAAAAAUGUAUAGAAUAGCAAAUCUGUAGGGACAGACAUGAAGUGAGUGGUUGCCAGAAGUGGAAAUGAGAGUUAACUAUAAAUAGCAUAGGGUACCUUACAGAGAUGAUGGAAAUGUCCUAAAACUAGAUUAUGGCAAUGGUUGCACCACAUGAUCCGUUUAUUAAAAAUCGUUGAUGUGUGUGUGUAAAAUGGAUGGAUUUUAUGAUUUAUAAAUUAUACCUUAAUAAAGGUUAACAAAAAAUGUGGCU